UUGGUGGCCUUCGGGAACGUCUGACACAGGUGCUGCAUGGCUGUCGUCAGCUCGUGUCGUGAGAUGUUGGGUUAAGUCCCGUAACGAGCGCAACCCUUGUCCUUAGUUACCAGCACGUUAUGGUGGGCACUCUAAGGAGACUGCCGGUGACAAACCGGAGGAAGGUGGGGAGUGACGUCAAGUCAUCAUGGCCCUUACGGCCUGGGCUACACACGUGCUACAAUGGUCGGUACAAAGGGUUGCCAAGCCGCGAGGUGGAGCUAAUCCCAUAAAACCGAUCGUAGUCCGGAUCGCAGUCUGCAACUCGACUGCGUGAAGUCGGAAUCGCUAGUAAUCGUGAAUCAGAAUGUCACGGUGAAUACGUUCCCGGGCCUU
rnacentral:rRNA from 1 species